rnacentral:rRNA from 1 species
AGAGUUUGAUCAUGGCUCAGAUUGAACGCUGGCGGCAGGCCUAACACAUGCAAGUCGAACGGUAACAGGAAGCAGCUUGCUGCUUCGCUGACGAGUGGCGGACGGGUGAGUAAUGUCUGGGAAGCUGCCUGAUGGAGGGGGAUAACUACUGGAAACGGUAGCUAAUACCGCAUAAUGUCGCAAGACCAAAGAGGGGGACCUUCGGGCCUCUUGCCAUCGGAUGUGCCCAGAUGGGAUUAGCUUGUUGGUGGGGUAACGGCUCACCAAGGCGACGAUCCCUAGCUGGUCUGAGAGGAUGACCAGCCACACUGGAACUGAGACACGGUCCAGACUCCUACGGGAGGCAGCAGUGGGGAAUAUUGCACAAUGGGCGCAAGCCUGAUGCAGCCAUGCCGCGUGUAUGAAGAAGGCCUUCGGGUUGUAAAGUACUUUCAGCGGGGAGGAAGGGAGUAAAGUUAAUACCUUUGCUCAUUGACGUUACCCGCAGAAGAAGCACCGGCUAACUCCGUGCCAGCAGCCGCGGUAAUACGGAGGGUGCAAGCGUUAAUCGGAAUUACUGGGCGUAAAGCGCACGCAGGCGGUUUGUUAAGUCAGAUGUGAAAUCCCCGGGCUCAACCUGGGAACUGCAUCUGAUACUGGCAAGCUUGAGUCUCGUAGAGGGGGGUAGAAUUCCAGGUGUAGCGGUGAAAUGCGUAGAGAUCUGGAGGAAUACCGGUGGCGAAGGCGGCCCCCUGGACGAAGACUGACGCUCAGGUGCGAAAGCGUGGGGAGCAAACAGGAUUAGAUACCCUGGUAGUCCACGCCGUAAACGAUGUCGACUUGGAGGUUGUGCCCUUGAGGCGUGGCUUCCGGAGCUAACGCGUUAAGUCGACCGCCUGGGGAGUACGGCCGCAAGGUUAAAACUCAAAUGAAUUGACGGGGGCCCGCACAAGCGGUGGAGCAUGUGGUUUAAUUCGAUGCAACGCGAAGAACCUUACCUGGUCUUGACAUCCACGGAAGUUUUCAGAGAUGAGAAUGUGCCUUCGGGAACCGUGAGACAGGUGCUGCAUGGCUGUCGUCAGCUCGUGUUGUGAAAUGUUGGGUUAAGUCCCGCAACGAGCGCAACCCUUAUCCUUUGUUGCCAGCGGUCCGGCCGGGAACUCAAAGGAGACUGCCAGUGAUAAACUGGAGGAAGGUGGGGAUGACGUCAAGUCAUCAUGGCCCUUACGACCAGGGCUACACACGUGCUACAAUGGCGCAUACAAAGAGAAGCGACCUCGCGAGAGCAAGCGGACCUCAUAAAGUGCGUCGUAGUCCGGAUUGGAGUCUGCAACUCGACUCCAUGAAGUCGGAAUCGCUAGUAAUCGUGGAUCAGAAUGCCACGGUGAAUACGUUCCCGGGCCUUGUACACACCGCCCGUCACACCAUGGGAGUGGGUUGCAAAAGAAGUAGGUAGCUUAACCUUCGGGAGGGCGCUUACCACUUUGUGAUUCAUGACUGGGGUGAAGUCGUAACAAGGUAACCGUAGGGGGACCUGCGGUUG